UUUCUGUGGUGCCUAUUAUUUUCUGUUAACAUCUAACGGCAGAUUAAGGUGGACUGUGUGUCUAAGCUGGUAUUGAUCUGAAUUUGGCAACAUGGAGACGUCUGAGGACAAGGAAGAGGAAGCUCCUCUCUCUGAAACCACUUUAUGUAAGAAACCAGAGGACAAGAGAAAUCAGACUGAAAGAGAAUCUGAUCCUGAUAUGGAGUCUGGCCAGUCUGACCUAAACCAGCUUUCUGCUACAAAGAGGAAACAACAGGAACAAGAACCUGGACCAAGCUGUCUGUCCUUCAAGAGCAGCCAGUCAAAAGAUGCAGUAAUUAGUUUUAACAUUGAUCAACCUUCAGAUGCAAAGAGG